rnacentral:rRNA from 1 species
AUUGAACGCUGGCGGCAUGCCUUACACAUGCAAGUCGAACGGUAACGGGCCUUCGGGUGCCGACGAGUGGCGCACGGGUGUGUAAUACAUCGGAACGUGCCCGAUCGUGGGGGAUAACGAGGCGAAAGCUUUGCUAAUACCGCAUACGAUCUACGGAUGAAAGCAGGGGACCGCAAGGCCUUGCACGGACGGAGCGGCCGAUGGCAGAUUAGGUAGUUGGUGGGAUAAAAGCUUACCAAGCCGACGAUCUGUAGCUGGUCUGAGAGGAUGAUCAGCCACACUGGAACUGAGACACGGCCCAGACUCCUACGGGAGGCAGCAGUGGGGAAUUUUGGACAAUGGGCGCAAGCCUGAUCCAGCCAUGCCGCGUGCAGGAUGAAGGCCUUCGGGUUGUAAACUGCUUUUGUACGGAACGAAAAGCCUUCUUUUAAUACAGGAGGGUCAUGACGGUACCGUAAGAAUAAGCACCGGCUAACUACGUG